rnacentral:rRNA from 1 species
AUUGAACGCUGGCGGCAGGCUUAACACAUGCAAGUCGAGCGGGCGAGGUUACUUCGGUAACUGAGCUAGCGGCGGACGGGUGAGUAAAGCUUAGGAAUCUGCCUAUUAGUGGGGGACAACAUUCCGAAAGGGAUGCUAAUACCGCAUACGUCCUGCGGGAGAAAGCAGGGGAUCACUUGUGACCUUGCGCUAAUAGAUGAGCCUAAGUCGGAUUAGCUAGUUGGUGGGGUAAAGGCCUACCAAGGCGACGAUCUGUAGCGGGUCUGAGAGGAUGAUCCGCCACACUGGGACUGAGACACGGCCCAGACUCCUACGGGAGGCAGCAGUGGGGAAUAUUGGACAAUGGGGGGAACCCUGAUCCAGCCAUGCGGCGUGUGUGAAGAAGGCCUUUUGGUUGUAAAGCACUUUAAGCGAGGAGGAGGCUUACCUGGUUAAUACCUGGGCUAAGUGGACGUUACUCGCAGAAUAAGCACCGGCUAACUCUGUGCCAGCCGCCGCCGUAACAC